AAAAUAUUGGGUUGGCCAAAAAGUUUAUUUGGGUUUUUUUUGUAAGAUGAUAUGGAAAAGUCCAAGUGAACUUUUUGGCUAAUCCAGUAUUU
rnacentral:pre_miRNA from 1 species